GCAGGGUAUCAUACGCUAGAGGCAACUUUUUUACAUUGACUUAAAAUGUUAACCUGGAUUAUAGUGUCAGAUGAAGACACUGAGGAAGAGGAGUGUUCCAGCAUGAGGGUCAGUGGAGGACCAUAACACUUUCUCAUUCCAUGUAAAAAUGAGAAAGUGCUUACAGUUAGCAAAAUUUUUUCAGCUCUCUGAUGGGUGAUGUGGCUUGGCCUAAUGCAAGAAUGUCAGCUUUCUGCCUACUCACAUAAAUAAUACAUGUGAAGAGAGGAAGAGGGCUCAACUCUCGAGAACUACAGAGAAGAAGGUGCGCCUGUCUCAAAAAGGGAUUUGGGAGUGCAGUAUUUGAAAAGUGAUUACAGACUCCUCAAAAGAAAAAAUAAAUAAUAAAAAGGACCGUAAUAUUACUUUUGAAAAAGUGUUCUGAGACUUAGAAAAACACCUGAACUGAUAAAGGUAGAGGAAAGAGAAGCCAGGAGUUCUGAUUAUUUUGCUGCUUUAAUCCUGACAGCAUCUUUUCCAUUUUAUCUAAUAAAGACCUGGAUUUUCUGCAAACUUCACUCUUCUAUCUUCAGUAAAAUUACAGAACUAGAAUAUUUGAACAAAUUUCUCUUAGGUUAAGCUUUUCUCACAAAAAAGGGAUCAUCAUGUUAAAUGGAAACAAAUAUGCUCAAGAAACAAUAAAAUCUAAACUCCAAUUUUAAUUUUCACAAAAAGUAGCUAGUAGCAGCACCAAACAGAGACAAUCAUUACAGGUUGAGAUACCUUACUUUAAGAUGCAUUCCCUUCCUUGUAGGUUUUGGUGACUUAUUUUAAACACACAUACCCAACCACACAGACAAUGCUCAUACAUGAAACUGCAGUGGACUGAGCCUAAAACCUUCAAGGAAAGUAUAAGUCAGGCCCAUGAACCCAAUUCAUAUCUGGCAAACAGCUGACAUCAGUG